UACAGCCUACGGGGCGCAGCAGUGGGGGAUAUUGCACAAUGGGGGGAACCCUGAUGCAGCGACGCCGCGUGGGUGAAGAAGCGCCUCGGCGCGUAAAGCCCUGUCAGCAGGGAAGAAAAUGACGGUACCUGAAGAAGAAGCCCCGGCUAACUACGUGCCAGCAGCCGCGGUAAUACGUAGGGGGCAAGCGUUAUCCCGAUUUACUGGGUGUAAAGGGGGCGCAGACGGCGAUGCAAGCCAGGAGUGAAAGGUACCGGCUCAACCGGUACAGGCUCUGGAAACUGGCGGGCUAGAGAGCAGGGGAG
rnacentral:rRNA from 1 species